GUCGUGCACAGCAGCACUGAUCUAGAAGAUGUAGCAAACUUAAUAAGUAACUUUGACGAAAUGCUAAAGAAAAGUUCUCUAUCCGUCGUAUAAAGAAGCCAAGCCCCUGGCUUUUGCAUCAGAAGUGGUAACUUACAGAUGAAUGUACAAUAAACUCCUGGUCAUCCUUUGAGAGAGCCCCAAAGACUGAGGAUGUAAUACCCGCAAAACAAGUGAUUGACGCAGUUCUCACCUUUCCAUCAAGAGCAGAACAAUUCAGCUACCCAGGCAAUAUGUGGAAAGUAAGAACUAAGGUAACAUCGUAAGCUUUACAGUUCAGGACACUAUGGAAAAAACAAAUGCAUAUGCAAAGGAAAAAACAAUCCACCAUAUGCCUAGUUCAAUCGACAUGCUAGUAGGAGACGGGACCUGAGGAACUGUACAGAGUCGCAAUUGGUUUGUUGGAUAAAAAAUUACAAAUAAUCAGCUAAGAAGAAUAAAUCUUGUCCUUAAAACAGAGGAAAGGUACAUAAGAAACAGAUUCCCAUUAAUCGCUUCAGUAUAACAUAAAUAAAAACCUAAAUAGAGGUGAAGGAACCGAAGUCCAGAAGUGCACUUAAAACAAAAUAUACAUAGGGAAAAAGGGCAGAACUCUGUCUGCUUAGAGCCAUCAUAGACCAUCUGAGAAUUCUUUGUGAUAUUACCCAAACUAGCACUUCCAGUUUUCCCAACAAAAAUUCCAGCAAGACUAACUGAUACCACAUAAACAAUGAACUACAUUUGUGUUGCAAAAAUCAGGGAAGACUAAAAGCUUACCAUAUGAGAAUUGUGCCGUAGUAUCAGAGGCAUAAGCCAGUCUAUUGUCCUGGACCAAUGAUCACAUGCAGUUUCACAUGCUUCCGAUUCAACUUUGUUAUCC
rnacentral:lncRNA from 1 species